GGCAUAAUGCCCCUCCAAACUUUUCGCUUUUCUAUUGUUUCAAAUUUUUUAAAUUUAAAAGAAAAGUUUAUACCUCAGUCGUGAUUGAACCGUGGCAGUAUAACAGAUAUGCCUCGGUUUCCGAUUGAACUGAGGCAGAAGUGGGUUAAAAAACCUAAAAAUCAGAAUUAGUUUAAUCUCCUCUGGUGCGUGUGAACGUGAAGAAGAACCUGUCUACUUCUCCAUUGCAGUCCCGCUACCCACCACCAUAGACUCUGCCCCGUGCCUGCCUCCUCCGCCUGAUGCCGGCGUUCCGCCUCUGAGGACGGGUUGUUGCGCCUGUUGCAUUUUCGUUUUGUGAAUUGAAUCGAUUUUGGAGUGCUUUUUUUCUAUUUUGUUGUUGUGUUUUGGUUGCAGUAUAAUGUGGUGAUGAUUAAUUUUUCGAUUCUUCCAUUCUCUGUUUUCUCCCUUUCUCUUGUUGCAUUUUCGCAAUUAGGAUUUGUAAUUGAGAAAGAAGAAGAAAAAGAAAGAAGAAGAAAUUAGAGGGGUGUUUGAUCGGGUCCUCAGUGGAUUUCAGAGUUGAAGCAUUAUGCACCUGGUGUUCCCAUCAUUCUGGUUGGCACAAAGCUUUCUAUGUUUGUUUAUGUAUACUUUGAUACUGAUAAUCUUCCGAUUAGGUUCUUUGGCUAAUUGAGGUGACAAAUAUGUGACACCGGGAGAAAGCUGGAAUGAAAAUCGAGGCAUAAAGGUUAUUCAUUUUCUUUUUUAAAUUUUAAUAACAUAAGGCUUCGGUUAUUGUACCAUUGGGACAGUACGAGACACUUUUUUGUCUCGAGUUAGACCCGAAGCAGAAGGAUUAAUUUUGUUUUUUAUUUUUUAAUUUUUAAUGACUAUUAGGUAUCGGUUGUUCUAAGAACUGAGAUAGUAAUAGUUGGAUAUGUUUUAGUUUUCAACCGAGGUCAAAAACUAACUCUUUUUAUUU